UAACAUCCGUGCCCAUCUUCCUCCACUUUAUAUGGGACGCUGCCACAGCGUGGCUUGCCAAGUGGUGCGUCAGUGCACGCCUGGGAUCCAAACCGGCGAACCCCAGGCCACCGCAGCAGAGCACGUGCACUCAACCGCUUGUGCCACUGGGCUGGCCCUUUGUGUCAUUUUAAACAUCCAGCAUGCUCACUUUUCCUUAAUCCCGAACAACAUAUUUGUUCUUCCUAUAUUUUCUCUGAGACACAAUGGUGAUCAUGUAGCUACACAGUCUUCCCAGAUGAGUCCUAAUUCUUUCCUCUGACUGGAUUUUUCACUUUUCCUGGUCUUCUCUUGAGAGUCUUCUCCAAGUCCACCUCAGAAGUCUUCUAUGGGUUGAAUUAGGGCUCAUACAAACAGUAAAACACACAUUCAAGUUAAAUUCAUGAUGAACUCCAAAAAAACAAAUGUGGAUAAGGAAUCUCAUGGUUCACUCUUAUGAGAAUAUGUCAAGUGUUGCUAUAAAGACAAGUGAUUGAGACUCACCAGGAGGAGAAGAUGAUGUGGAGGUGUAGCUCCAUGUGGUUUUCAUGUUUACCCCCAUGGCCUUAUUUCCAAAUAAAUAAACAUGAGGCGCUUUGGAAUAUCUCCUUUGGGAUUGUCUUGGAGGCGAAAUGUCGAACUACAUGGGAUGAUCAUUGUUACCUCACGUUACAAUAUACAUUGGGCAUUUUUAGCAUAAAAAUCAUCAGAUCCUCCCUUUGAGCCCUCCUCAGCCUUGUAAAUGAGUGCAGGUGUAGUUUGGCAUCGCUGUUGUGGACUGGUGCUUUACCACAUUUCAUUAUCAUGCGUGCACUUCUCAAUGAGUCAGUAGUCACAAUACUCAUAAUUUUUUAAUGACAGCACAGGUACUUUUCUAUUCGGGAAAGAGAGUUGCCUCUCAAGGGCCCCUCCUUCCUCUGUCCUCUCUCAGGAGGGCUUGUUUGUGCAGUGGUUGUGGCGGUACCUGUAAGCAAGCUCCUAGGUCUGUAAGGGUCGUAAAAACCCUCUCCUGCAGAGGACAUUUCUCUCCACGCUUGGGAGCUCGUCAGUAUAACGCAGCACAUUGAUACUUGGGUGUGCAUUUGUCCCUAGCUGUUGUGACAUGCCAUCCAGAUGAUAGACUGGUCUUUGUUCCCACAUCUCCCAUUUCUCACCAUCUGCUCUUCACUUCUGUGUUCAAUCAGAGGGGCCAGCUAUGACCUUGCUGCUGUUUGGGCAAGAGGGAUGAGACCCUGUCCUUCAUCCCAUGGCACACCAUGGGAAAUUGAGACACGUGGGUGACUGAAAUGUGGGCUCUUGAGCUCCCUGCCCUUGAGCUCCUCUCAUGUGGAGAACACAUUAAAUGAAGCAUGUGCAAUAAAGUAACUGUCGCUUUGACAGCCAUGUGUCUGGGGAACUCACAAGCACAAACAAUAGAAAGAUCAAAAUGUGGGGAUGGAAGGGCAGGUGUGGAGGGGGCAGAGUGACCUAGUGGCUAAGAGCUUGGAGUUGGGAUUGAUUGGGAUUCCAGCCCAUGUGCACUGGGCCAUCUGCAGCCACAUGACCAUGGUCACGUCACUUCUCCCUGGAGUUCAGUGUCCUUGUGUGUAAAAUGGGAAGAUGGACAUUGAACUAAAGCAGAGAAAGCAGAGCAGACAGAAGCAAGAGGUGAUAUCAUGCAGCCCUCUGAAGGAUGCAGGAUCCCCAGGCAGGGUCAGAGUUGGAGAAGAACAUCUCCAGCAAAGGUAACAGCGUGUGUCAAGAAGCAGAGACUGACGAGAGUGUGGUCUGGUGCAGGCACCAGAGGAAUGCUACUAUGGCUAUAGCGGGGAGAGAGGUGGGCAGUGAGAUCGAGCAGGGCAGGGCGAGAUGAGAAUUAGGUUUUGUGCUCAUUCGGUUUGAAAGGUCUACCAGACGUCUAAGAGGAAAUUGAUAUCCAGGUGGAUGAGCAACUCUGGAGUUCAGGGGAGAGUUCAGGUCUGCAGGUCUGUGGUGCCAGUGCCCUUUGGCACCAGGAACACCCCUGACAGCGGUAGUGGAACAGCAAGGCUUAUCAAUGCACUGCGUACCAUGUGGGGUACCGCACACCAUGAGAAAUGCAGGGCGCUCAGUAAGAGGAUGUUAGGACUCUGUACCGGUGUUCAGUGUUUUGGAGAAAGGUUUAAAGGAAUUGCAGCUUUGGUCUGAAUUGGAUGGUGUCAGGCAGUAGGGUUGAUUCUGUGAUCAGAAAUCCCGAAAUGUGUUAUCUACAAGGCACGUGAAGGAAGCAGGCCUAAUGCAGCAGCUGGUAGAAGACGUAGCCCUCACUCACGUUACCCCAGAGAGGGGGCUAUCUCGUCAUUUCUCUUGUUUGACCAAGUUCUUGUUUUGUUCUGUGCUCUGAUGUGAUGAUUGGGUGGUCUUUUCUGUCUCAUUCUAGAAUGGUCACAGAGUGACCUCGACUGAGGUUGGUGUUCUGUGAACUAACAUUCAAUAGGAGAAUCCCAGAGCUUAGAGGUGAGCACCAGAGCAGCUGCUGAGAACCCCAUGGCCUGGCCCCCAGGAUGCCCUGAGCUCCUCUUUCCCCUUACAAUCAUAACCCCUCCCCUGGUAUAUAAUUUAAACCUGUAACACAAAUAGACAGUAGUCCACACAAGGAGCUCCAGGCAGAGGGAACAUCCUGUGCAAAGGUGUGGGUGUGUCAGCGAUCCUGGGACAUUUGAGAAAGUGAAAGUUCAGUGUGGGGAGAUCUGAGGCCAAGGCCUGGGGACUGUGGUGUCCCACAUGAGGGGCUGGAAAGAGAAGCCUCCAAGAAGAGGUUAACUCAUUUUUUUUUUUUUUGUGAGGAAGAUCAGCCCUGAGCUAUCAUCCAUGCCAAUCCUCCUCUUUUUUUGCUGAGGAAGACUGGCCCUGAGCUAACAUCUAUUGCCAAUCCUCCUCCUUUUUUUCCCCCCUUUUUCUCCCCAAAGCCCCAGUAGAUAGUUAUGUCAUAGUUGCACAUCCUUCUAGUUGCUGUAUGUGGGAUGCGGCCUCAGCAUGGCCUGACAAGCGGUGCCUCGGUGCAUGCCUGGGAUCCGAACCCGGGCCACCAGUAGUGGACCGCAUGCACUUAACUGCUACGCCUCAGGGCCGGCCCCAGGAGGUGAAUUCUGAGUGGGGACAAGCUGAGAGCACAGAUAUCCCAGAAAGUGACCCUGUUCCAGGAGUGCCCAGCUGCUGGCAGAGGCUGAGUGGCAUUCAGAGAUCCCCUUAGUCAGGGGUGACUGGGCUGGGACACAGCAAGGGACCUGGGUCCCAUGCGGGCAUGUUGGUCAGGGGCACCCCCAGACAUGCCAUGGGACAUAUACAGGCCAGGAGGAGACUCUACAACACCACCACACACAGGACUACACAAAAAUGUACCAGCAGAUGUUCACACUCACACACACACACGUAGAACACAAAACCCUAUGAAGACGCACAUGCAGAUACUCAUCAGGACACAGACACAAGCAUAGAGAGGGUCUCUUUAUAUCACCUGGAGACACAUAUAACCAUGAAGACAGAUGGACACAGACAUAGAAGGACACCCAGACACCUAUGCACAGAAGUCUCACCCAUACACCUAUGCACAGAAGUCUCACACAUGUCAAGAACAGUGCUGACAGGCAGAUGCACCCAUUGACACAACCGUGUACAUGCAGACACACAGGAACACACUGGAGCACACGUACAGAAGAGUAUGGAGACAUCCACAGUAAAGCUCCUGGAAAGACAAAGGGGCAACACAGGAGAACACGACAACGUAGAGGCAGGGACAUUGAGAGUGAGGUGCACAUGUACAUUCCCAAAGGUAGACACAUGUAUACAGCCACACUGACAGAUACGGAUGUACAAAUGGUCAGACAUGUAGAGAUAUGGCCAUCCAGAGAGAGAUACACACACAAGAUCUCACACAUACACACACGGACAAUCAUGGAAACAUUCCCUAAUGCAGUUAAUCAGAUCUGUACUCACAGGGAUGUGGUGGUAAAUGGUUAAUAUCUGCUCUUGAGAAAAAAGUGCAUAUAGAUUACAUAAAUUCACUACAAAUUUUACUGAUAUAAAGGAUGUGUAGCACACACUUUGCAAAUGAUAAUAUAUACAAUGGUCUCUAUUGUCAGCUCCACAUAGCCAAUUGAUUCUCACAGAAUGCUUUCAUUAAUUUUUGCUUUAAUUCUUUUAUGUGUCAAGAUUUGUACUAAAUUCCAACAUAUUUAUAUUAUUAUAACCAAGCAAAUCCAAUUCUGAGUGUAUACCCAUUAGAAAUGAGGGCAUUUUUCCUCCAAAAUAUAUAUACAUUGUUGACCAAAAAGAGCAAGUUUAUGAGGCAAAAUGAAAUUUUAAAGAAAAAGAGGCUUUUAUUUAGAAUUGCAAUUAGAGGAACACAGAUCUGAGAGAAAAACUCAGAUGUGCUCUCCUGAGGCAGAAGAAGCAUGGAGUUAUGAAGGCAAAAGCCACAAGCCUGCAUAAAUUGUUUUGCUCCGGGAUGUGGCUUUGUUCCAGGAUUCGGUCAGCAGUUUGGGAAGCACAGUGUCUGCAAGAGCUGCGUUCGUGUGGGUAUCUUACUUUCUCAAUGGCUUCUGACCUAGUUCCAUGAGCCUUGGCUGGAGUGACCCCACAACAGCUUAGCAGCCACCUGGUUAUCUCUGACCUCAGUCAUUUUCCUUUAAUAUUUCCCCUCAUUCAUUAUAGGUCCACCAGUGCAGCACCUUUGAUCAAUUUAAGAAGAAUUUAGGUCCCUCACAGCUCAAGUGUGUCUUUGGCUGCUUGGGUUCCAUCUAGUCCCACAUAGGAGGCAUCAAAUGGUGGCAUCAGAUGAAUGUGGGUGGUGGCUUGAAGCAGCAUGAUGUGGGUUGCCAGUGGCGGGGUGGCAUCCAGAUGUCACUGCAUGAUGUUUAAUCAGGUGAGGGGGGAACUGUCAGCGAGUUGUUCUCUUAUCAGUGGUCCUCCUGUUGUUCUGUAAAAUAAGCUCAGAAACUUUGGUUACUUUGUUCCCCAUGUCAACCUUGUGGGUAUGAGGCGUGGUUUCACCCCUAAUCCAGGGAAAUUUUUAACUCCUUCAUUUUCAGUUUUAAUCCCACUGUUUUAUGAUCAUUUUUCCAUCUUGGGGAAGAUCUCUUGAGCUACUUCCUUCUGUGAAAGGGCAAAGAUCAGGGUUAGAGGAAUGAAAUUGUUCUACGUUUAUUUAAAAAUAUCUUGGGUAUCAGGUGGGGGAGAGGGAGGAGCAAGACAGCCCAAAUUUUAGAAUCCCCUCCAUAAUGGACCUCAAUCCUUGAGGAAUCCAGGAGGAGAGGCUGGUUAGCCAAUCAAGCUUAGAGCCUGGAAAUUUAAGUGAAAUCUGAUGAAACAAAUAGAAAAGGUUAAUGGUUGGAGCAAAUUAUAAAUUAAUUCUUGAGUCCAGGGGACAGCCAGUCAAGAUUUCUAGAUGUCAGGGUUGAAGCAUUGUUUGUAGUUUUAAGUGUCUCUGAUGAUGUAACCAGCUGUCCAGGUAAACCUUUUGUGUGGCUUAUAUAGCAACAGGUGUGAAGAAUGUCUAACUAUGGGCCACUAUGGUGAUCUCUCUUAAGUUUAUACCAAGUUAUCCAAUUUUAAUUUGCAGGGCCUCAGGGGGGAAAAAAAAAGAGUGGCCUCAGUUUUCAGUGAAUUCAAAUGAAAAGGAUGGAAAAAAUGGAAAA